rnacentral:snRNA from 1 species
AUCGCUUCUCGGCCUUUUGGCUAAGAUCAAGUGUAGUAUCUGUUCUUAUCAGUUUAAUAUCUGAUACGUCCUCUAUCAGAACACCUUCUAUACAUGGUCAAUUCCUUUAUCUCAAAGAUUACUCUGCAGUGUAAGAAGAAAAAAUAUUU